rnacentral:lncRNA from 1 species
GGUCCAGAGUGCCAAGGAAAGCAUGCUUAGGCAUUUGUCUAAUAACCAAAAGAAAAAAAUUUAAAAAACAAAACAAAACAAAAAUGGAAAGUAAUGCUUUUCUGACAGGUAGGCUUUACCAUGUUGGAAGUAUUGCGGUUCAGCUGUAUCCAGGGAGGGAAAUGUAAGUAUGUUCACCAUUAAGGGAAUACUCAGCCCGCCCUUCUCUUUAGCAGAUCUUCCAAUUACUUUUUAGAAAAUUAGGCAGUGUGUACACAUGUACUUGUGCCUGUGUGUGUGUGUGUGUGUGUGUGUGUGUGUGUGUACUCUUGGCAAGACAAUUGACUGUGACAGCUCAAUUAAUUCAUAAAAGGAGACAAUAGUUCUUAGUGAUUGGGGGAGCUUAGAAUGACAGGCCUUCACCGAGGGAUAGGAGUAAAACUAAGAUUGUACUUUUUGACCAAGAGAAAGUAGAUUCCUUUAGUGGGGUCAACAAAGCCCAGAUAUCCCUACUUUUCUUCUGGUAAUUUAAAUCCCAAGGACAAGCUUUUUAGGGUUACCCAAGAAACAAGAAGUCAUAUACAAAGUUGAGGGAAAGGGUCUGGCCUCACUGGCUUCCAAACCCUGGACUGCCAGUCUACCUCCCUAAUUUUAGGAGUAGCGCUUUUCUGUGAGAACUUUCUUUUCCCUUGCUACUUGGUCAGGUCCCUUACACUAGGCCCAGCUUUCAGCCUGUUGGCUUUUGACACAACUUCUUCCUUACAAUAAUCAUGUCUAGCUUUUAUUAAAGGGAGCAGUGUACAGCUCUCCUUUCUUCUGGAACAGUUAGAGGCCAUUUUAGUCUAAUUUGAAGAUUUUUAGUGUCUGGGAGAGUAGAGAGAUCCAAGAAGGGAUGUGGAAUGGCUGGCUGGUAGGAUGUACAGAACACAAACUUUAUCAGUGUUUCAUUUUAUGUUGGCAGGGUCUGUGGCAUCCAAAAAAAUUACAGUAAUAGCAUCAAUGAUUGUCAUACAUAUGUAAUAAUAAUGUAAAAAUAGAUAUUGUGAGAAUCACCAAACUAUAACACAAGGGCAGAAAAUGGGCACAUGCUGUUGGAAAAACAGCAUUGAUAGACAGGCAAGCCCAGUGAAAGCUUGCUACAAGCCUGGUUCUGAAGGAAAGAGAACAUUGUCUGUGAAGUGCCAUCAGGUGGGGAGCAGUCAGUGUGGGCAUGCCUGCACAUUGCUUCAGAGUUUGCUGUACCAGGAAUACUGCUUAUCCAAUUCAUGGUCAUUUAAUAACAAUGGCUUUCCUACAAUGAUGGUAACAUACUCAUUUUACUCUAGGCCCUAACAAUCUGUAUUUUGGCCAACAUUCUGCACAGUAACCCUAAGGUAUUCCUUAAGAAAUUGGGGUUUUCUCCAUUCUUCUCCUCUCCUGAGACCUUACUAGAAUCACUUUUCAAAUUUUGAUUUUAUAGUCUAGAUUUUUCUAGCAUGCACCUCAAAAUUCUUUCCAGUCUUCAUCCUUUAUCCAGUUGCAAAGCUAUUUCAAUAUUUUUGGCAUUUAUUAUAGUAGCAUCCCACUCCUAGUUCAAAAUCUAUAUUUGUCAGGGGUCUCCAGAAAAAUAGAACCAAUAAGAGAUAUGAGUUGAGAGCUAUAGAGACUUGUUAGACGUUGGCUUAUGUGUCUGUAGAGGUUGAGGAGACCUACAAUCUGCUGUCUGAAAGUUGAAGACUCAGAAAAGCCAGCGGUGAAGAAAGUCUAGCUUACUUCUGCAGUCCCAAGAACCAGUGGCCCCAUUGUCCACGGACAGAAGAUAGAGGUCCCAACUCAAGCAGAAAAACAUAUGCAGUCUUGCUCAGCCUUUUGUUCUGUUCAGGCCCACAGCAGAUUGAUCUUUGCCUUAGUCUAUCACCUGAAAUGCCAGCCUCUUCUGCAGACAGCCUCAGGUGCACACCCACCACACACGUGAUGGUUUAUGUGCAUCUGCUGUCAGGGCACUCAAGGGUAAGCAUCCACCUUCCUAAAGAGGAUCACCAGGAGGCAGGGAAGAUGCUAAGUUUAAUUUUGGAGAAAUAACAAUGAAAAUCACAUUUUUUUUGUAACAACUAUGAUGACUAGCCUAUAAAAAAAGAAGACAAAUAUUGAUACAAGCGAUGCUUGAACCUUCCUCUGUUACUGGCAGCAAUUUUGUAAAAUGCAUUAGUAGCCUGAAAAAGUGGAACCUAAAGUUCCCAACUCUACUUCAAAGUGUUAACCUAGCAAUUCUACACCUAUCCACAAGAGCAUGGGGGUGUCAACGUUCAGUUAUUAAUCACAAUAACCUCAAAUUAGAUGCAACCCAGUGCUACCACAAUAAAUGGUUCAAUAGGCUGUGUAUUCAGACUUCAGUCCUGAAAACAGAUGAAGUACCAAUAUAUGCCACCGCAUGGAUGGGCCUUGAAGUGAAAAGCAAGAGGCAAGGAGACACAUGCUGAAUGAGCUGAUUUCUAUUAACAGAGACAUAAAGAUGAGCAGUUGCCAGCAGGGAGCAGGGGUAUACAGGGACAGUAAGAAAGGAGGGGGAGGGGGAGCGAGGUCUAAUGGGUCAGUGUAGCUUCAAAGGGUGAUCUAAAUGUCCUGGAAUUAGACAGUAGUGACCAUUGUACAUGUUGAUAAUUAUGACAAAACCCACUGAAUUGCAAAGUUUGUAAAGUAGUGAAUUUUGUUGUGCUAAUGUGCUUUAAUUUUAAAAAAUCAUCUCAGGACAGACAAAACCAAAUCAAAAGAGGAAAAAAAAACUUAGAAAAGGG